rnacentral:rRNA from 1 species
UACAGAGACUGCAAGCGUUAUUCGGAUUCACUGGGCGUAAAGGGUGCGCAGGCGGCCUGGCAAGUGGAAGGUGAAAUCCCUCGGCUUAACCGAGGAACUGCCCUCCAAACUGCUUGGCUUGAGACCGGGAGAGGUGAGUGGAAUUCCCAGUGUAGCGGUGAAAUGCGUAGAUAUUGGGAGGAACACCAGUGGCGAAGGCGGCUCACUGGACCGGUACUGACGCUGAGGCGCGAAAGCGUGGGGAGCAAACGGG